rnacentral:rRNA from 1 species
AUUCCAGUUCCAAUAGCGUAUAUUAAAGUUGUUGCGGUUAAAAAGCUCGUAGUUGGAUUUCUGUUGAAGACCGGCGGUCCACCUUUUGGGUGAGUAUCUGCUUGGGCUUCGGCAUCUUCUCGGAAUACGUUGCUGCGCUUGAUUGCGUGGUUCGGAGUCCGGGACUUUUACUUUGAGGAAAUUAGAGUGUUCACGGCAGGCAUACGCCUUGAAUAUAUUAGCAUGGAAUAAUAAUAUAGGAUCUUGGUUCUAUUUUGUUGGUUUCUAGAGCUAAGAUAAUGAUUAAUAGGGACAAUUGGGGGCAUUCGUAUUAACGCGUCAGAGGUGAAAUUCUUGGAUUGCGUUACGACGAACUACUACGAAAGCAUUUGCCAAGGAUGUUUUCAUUG